rnacentral:rRNA from 1 species
ACUCAAAUGAAUUGACGGGGACCCGCACAAGCGGUGGAUUAUGUGGUUUAAUUCGACGAUAAACGAGGAACCUUACCUGGGCUCAACUACUAGCUGCAGACUUCCAGAAAUGGAUUUCGCCUUCGAGGGUGCUAGAUAGGUGCUGCAUGGUUGCCGUCAGCUCGUGCCGUGAGGUGUACCGUUAAGUCGGGAAACGAGCGCAACCCACGUCGUGUGUUAAAUAUACACGCGAGACUGCCCGCGCAAGCGGGAGGAAGGAGUGGACGACGUCAAAUCAGCAUGGCUCUUACGUCCAGGGCUACACACAUAAUACAAUGGCCGGUACAAUGGGUUGCGAAACCGCGAGGUGGAGCUAAUCCCACCAACACCGGUCUCAGUUCAGAUUGAAGGCUGCAACUCGCCUUCAUGAAGUUGGAAUCGCUAGUAAACGCCUAUCAGCCACGGGGCGUUGAAUACGUUCUCGGGUCUUGUACACACCGCCCGU